rnacentral:rRNA from 1 species
CCUACGGGAGGCAGCAGUGGGGAAUUUUGGACAAUGGGGGCAACCCUGAUCCAGCCAUGCCGCGUGUGUGAAGAAGGCCUUCGGGUUGUAAAGCACUUUCGGCCGGAACGAAAUCGCGCGAUCUAAUAAGUCGCGUGGAUGACGGUACCGGAAGAAGAAGCACCGGCUAACUACGUGCCAGCAGCCGCGGUAAUACGUAGGGUGCGAGCGUUAAUCGGAAUUACUGGGCGUAAAGUGUGCGCAGGUGGCCGCGCAAGUCGAGUGUGAAAUCCCCGAGCUUAACUUGGGAAUUGCGCUCGAAACUACGUGGCUCGAGUGUGGCAGAGGAAGGUGGAAUUCCACGUGUAGCGGUGAAAUGCGUAGAGAUGUGGAGGAACACCGAUGGCGAAGGCAGCCUUCUGGGCCAACACUGACGCUCAUGCACGAAAGCGUGGGGAGCAAACAGGAUUAGAUACCCUGGUAGUCCACGCCCUAAACGAUGAUGACUAGUUGUUGGGGGAGUUAAAUCCCUUAGUAACGCAGCUAACGCGUGAAGUCAUCCGCCUGGGGAGUACGGUCGCAAGAUUAAAACUCAAAGGAAUUGACGG